UACGUAGGGGGCAAGCGUUGUCCGGAUUUACUGGGUGUAAAGGGUGCGCAGGCGGACUUGUAAGUCAGGGGUGAAAUCUCACAGCUCAACUGUGAAACUGCCUUUGAUACUGCAAGUCUUGGAUCCAGAAGAGAGUUGUGGAAUUCCGAGUGUAGCAGUGAAAUGUGUAGAUAUUCGGAAGAACACCAGUGGCGAAGGCAGCAACUUGGUCUGGUAUCGACGCUCAGGCACGAAAGCAUGGGGAUCAAACAGG
rnacentral:rRNA from 1 species